UACGGAGGGGGCUAGCGUUGUUCGGAAUUACUGGGCGUAAAGCGCACGUAGGCGGCUUUGCAAGUUAGAGGUGAAAGCCCAGGGCUUAACCCUGGAAUUGCCUUUAAAACUGCAUCGCUAGAAUUGUGGAGAGGUAAGUGGAAUUCCUGGUGUAGCGGUGAAAUGCGUAGAUAUCAGGAGGAACACCUGUGGCGAAAGCGGCGCACUGGACCACAACUGACGCUGAGGCGCGAAAGCUAGGGGAGCAAACAGG
rnacentral:rRNA from 1 species